rnacentral:rRNA from 1 species
AGACGAAGGUGGCUAGCGUUGUUCGGUAUUACUGGGCUUAAAGCGUGUGUAGGCGGAUUGGCAAGCGUCGUGUGAAAGUCCACGGCUUAACCGUGGAAUUGCUCGACGAACUGCUUUUCUUGAGACAAGUAGGGGUGCGCGGAACUCUUGGUGGAGCGGUGGAAUGCGUAGAUAUCAAGAGGAACGCCAGUGGUGAAGACGGCGUACUGGGCUUGUUCUGACGCUGAGACACGAAAGCGUGGGGAGCGAACGGGAUUAGAUACCCCGGUAGUCCACGCUGUAAACGAUGUCUACUAGGUUGUGGAGGCUCCGACGUUUUCACGGCCGAAGCAAAAGUGUUAAGUAGACCGCCUGGGGAGUACGGCCGCAAGGCUAAA